UCAGUGGAUGGCUCGGUUCGAGUGCCGAAGAAGGGCGUGCCAAGCUGCGAUAAGCUCCGGGAAGACGCAUGGAGUCUACGAUCCGGAGAUUCCCUAAUGGGACAUCCCAACACUUCGGUGUUGAUCCGUAAGGAUCGGGAACCCCCCGAAUUGAAACAUCUUAGUAGGGGGAGGAAGAGAAAUCAACCGAGAUGUCGUUAGUAGAGGCGAUCGAACACGACAGAGUUCAAACUGAAUCCCGCAAGGGAGAUGUGGUGUAGUAAGCCUACCGUCCGGAUACCAAGGUCAAACGGAAAUCCUCUGGAAUGAGGUGCCAAAGAGGGUGAUAGCCCCGUACGUGCAAGCCGAGGUAUCCUGGUAGUGUCUUGAGUACCGCGGGUCGGAAUUCUCGCGGGAAUCUGGGGGUCAUCAACCUCCAAAACUAAAUACUACUCGAAACCGAUAGCGUAUUAGUAGCGUGAGCGAAGGCUGAAAAGUAACCCUUGAAAGGUGGUUAAAAGCGCCUGAAACUGAUAGGUGAUAGUGAGUUACGGCGCGAAAGGAUCUUCCACGUGAAGGAACCCGUCGCGAGGCGGUAGUACGGGCGUGGUUGCCGGUGUCGUAACGUACGUUUUGAAGAACGGGCCAGAGAGUUUAUUCUGUAGGCGAAGGUUAACCCAAAAGGGGAGCCGAAGGGAAACCAACAGGUCCGUAGCCUUCGGGCAUGGGACGACGUAUUAAAAGUGCGUGGAGUCUGCAGGAUAAGACCCGAAGCCUAGCGAUCUAUGCGUGGGCAGGUUGAAGCGUGCCGAAAGGCGCGUGGAGGACCGCAAGCGGUUUUGAUAUGCAAAUCAUUCGUGUGACCUGCGUAUAGGAGUGAAAGAUUAAUCGAGCUGGGCAUCCGCUGGUUCCUCUCGAAACAUGCCGUAGCAUGACCUGGCUGGAGAUAGACGGUGAGGUAGAGCACUGAUUGGGGGAGCUGGGGGAGAAAUCCCUCACCCUCCUGUCAAACUCCAAAUUCCCCGUCGUCGAAGAAGGCUGGCAGUCCGGACUACGGGGUAAGCUUGUAGUCCGUAAGGGAGACAACCCAGACCGUGGUUAAUGUCCCUCAAUGUAGGCUAAGUGUCAACACUGAAAGGCGUCCCAGGCCAAAGACAACUGGAAGGUGAGCUCAGAAGCAGCUAUCCUUUAAAAAGUGCGUAACAGCUUACCAGUCGAGGUUUGGGGCACUGAAAAUGGACGGGGCUAAAGCCUACUACAGAUACCACGGACCACACAACGUGUGAUGGCGUAGAGAGGCGUGCUGCCUGGGCAGAAGCAGGGGCGUGAGCUCCUGUGGACCGGGUAGUAAUGAGAAUUCUGGCAUUAGUAGAAGCAAAGUUGGGUGAGAAUCCCAACCGCCGGAGGGGCUAGGUUUCCUCGGCAAUGUUCGUCAGCCGAGGGUUAGUCGGUCCUAAGAUGUGUCGUAAUUCGAGCACAUCGAAAGGGAAACAGGUUAAUAUUCCUGUACCAUUCAUCCGUAGCGUUAAUUCGCCCUGACGCUUCGGGAUAUGCCGGGCAGGGCCGUCGCCCUGUCCAAGCGUUCAAACUCGUGGAGUACCGCCAUGGUGAGAAGCGAGUGAAGGCGUGAUGGGGUAACUCGGCAAAUUCCUGGAGCCCGUGAAAAGGGGGAUGAAUGUCCGUACCGAGAUCUGACACAGGUGCCCCUAGCUGAAAAGGCUAAGGCGUGUCGGUUUAAUCGUGUUAAGGGAACUCGGCAAAUUAGCCCCGUAACUUUGGGAGAAGGGGUGCCUGCCUGGCGAUCAGGCAGGUCGCAGUGACCAGGGGGCUCUGACUGUCUAAUAACAACAUAGGUGACUGCAACUCGGAAACGACUAGUAUAGUCACUGAUUCCUGCCCAGUGCGAGUAUCUGAACACCGGGUUCAACCGGACGAAGGACUCGUAAACGGCGGGGGUAACUAUGACCCUCUUAAGGUAGCGUAGUACCUUGUCGCUUAAUUGGCGACUUGCAUGAAUGGAUUAACGAGAGCCCUACUGUCCCUAACACGAGGCCGUUGAACAUUUUAUCCUAGUGCAGAGACUAGGGACUCCAGAUGGGAAGUGAAGACCCCGUGGAGCUUUACUGCAGCCUGUCGCUGUGUUACGGUAUUCCUUGCGCAGCGUAGAUGGGAGGCGUCGAUCCACCCCUUCCGGGGGGUGGGGAGCCAACAAUGAGACACCAUCCUUGGUUUACUGUAACACUAACUCAACCGAGGACAACGAUAGGUAGGCAGUUUGGGUGGGGCGCCACACCCUCGAAAAAAUAUCAAGGGUGCCCUAUGGUCAACUCAUGUGAGUCAGAAACUCACAGGAGAGUGUCAAGAGCAUAAGUUGGCCUGACGCGAUUUCGCAUAGCAAGAAAUCGCGAGAGGAAACUCGGGUCUAACGAACUAAUGAGCCUUAUUGAUGAGGGCCAUUAACGACAGAAAAGCUACCCCGGGGAUAACAGAGUCGUCGCCGGCAAGAGCACAUAUCGACCCGGCGGCUUGCUACCUCGAUGUCGGUUCUUUCCAUCCUGGCCGUGCAGCAGCGGCCAAGGGUGAGGUUGUUCGCCUAUUAAAGGGGAUCGUGAGCUGGGUUUAGACCGUCGUGAGACAGGUCGGUUACUAUCUAUCUGGAGUGUAAGGAGUCUGAAGGUAAGAUGGAAAUAGUACGAGAGGAACUUUCCGUCGUCGCCUCUGGUCGAUCGGUUGUCCGACAGGGCAAUGCCGAGCAGCUACGCGAUAAGGGAUAAAAGCUGAAAGCAUCUAAGCUUGAAACCUGACCCGAAAAGAGACUCCGUUGAGGACACGGGUAAAAGACCCGCUUGAUAGGUCCGGGAUGUAAGCACGAAGGCAACG
rnacentral:rRNA from 1 species